rnacentral:rRNA from 1 species
UCAAUCUCGUGCGGCUGAGAGCCGCCUGUCCCUCUAAGAAGAAAUUAAUACGCCGGUAGCAUUGGAUACCGGAAUCGCCUAGUUAGUAGGCUAGAGUCUCGUUCGUUAU